GUCCUCACUUCAGAAGCACAUAUGCUAAAAUUGGAAUGAUACAGAGAAAUUUAGCACAUCCCCAUGUGCAAGAAUGACAGGCAAAUUUGUGGAACAUUCCAUGCUUUU